GAUGAACGCUGGCGGCGUGCCUAAUACAUGCAAGUCGAGCGAACGGACGAGAAGCUUGCUUCUCUGAUGUUAGCGGCGGACGGGUGAGUAACACGUGGAUAACCUACCUAUAAGACUGGGAUAACUUCGGGAAACCGGAGCUAAUACCGGAUGAUAUUUUGAACCGCAUGGUUCAAAAGUGAAAGACGGUCUUGCUGUCACUUAUAGAUGGAUCCGCGCUGCAUUAGCUAGUUGGUAAGGUAACGGCUUACCAAGGCAACGAUGCAUAGCCGACCUGAGAGGGGGAUCGGCCACACUGGAACUGAGACACGGUCCAGACUCCUACGGGAGGCAGCAGUAGGGAAUCUUCCGCAAUGGGCGAAGGCCUGACGGAGCAACGCCGCGUGAGUGAUGAAGGUCUUCGGAUCGUAAAACUCUGUUAUUAGGGAAGAACAUAUGUGGAAGGAACUGUGCACAUCUUGACGGUACCUAAUCAGAAAGCCACGGCUAACUACGUG
rnacentral:rRNA from 1 species